AGAAUUUAAAGAAGUUCUUAAAUGUCAAAUGUCAAUAAAUUUGAAUGUCAUCUAACCAUUACAAAACUACGAUCUACGUUUUUCGUUUUACAUUUUUAUAAAAUUAAUAAUCAACGAUGCAUUUCAUAUAUUAGAACAAUUUCAGCAAGAAUGCACUUUUAAUUUUUAAGAAAUACGAUCUAAAUCAUCAAGUUGGGAAGUGGAAUGGAAUUUACUUAACCUUUAGUGACAUUUUCUUUGUUAUCUUUAUCCAAAAUUUUUCGCAUAUUAUAUUCGAUCUAUUUUUGUCCUACUCUAUUUUGCUACAAAUUCACUGGGAGAUAUUAUUUAUAAUGCUGUUUUAUGCAUCCCUUAGAGCUUAACAUUAUCUACUAUGCACAAUUACGCAUCACUACACGAAUAUCCAGACCCAGAAGAGCAAGCUAUCCCUCAUCACCAUGUCUCUGAGCCUACGAGAUCUCGCUGGAAUCAUAUUGAUAACCUGGAUUCAUUUUUUAUCAGGGUCUACAAAUACCAUCAAAAGCAUGGAUUUUGGUGUCUUACCGUUACGGAAAUAGUAAAGUUGCACAAGUUCGUUUUCGUUUGUGGUUUGACUCUGUCUUUAUUAUACGCUGUCGAUUAUGGGAAAUUAUUUAACACCAAUCCAUCACAGAAGCAUCAAACGAUUUUUGAUGUUCUUCUUCCUUUUCAUGAGGUUAUGACAAAUAUGCCUCUAAUUGGUUGGCUGCUGCUCCUGUUUUUAAGUUUACUAUUUCUUUUGAGUUGUGUUAGAAAAUUAUACGCUAUUAUAACGUAUUGGGACAUCAAACAAUUUUAUAAUCAAGCUUUACACAUUAGCGACGACGAGCUGGAUAAUAUGACGUGGCACGACGUACAAGCUAAACUUAAGCAGGCACAACUAGAAUUGCAAAUGUGCAUUCACAAAAGGGAACUAACGGAAUUAGAUAUAUACCAUAGAAUACUCAGACAGACCAACUAUUUAGUCGCGUUAGUUAAUAAGAAAUUGUUGCCACCCAGAGAAGACUUUCCAUUCUUAGGAGAAAUUGUUUACUGGACCAAGGGUGUCAGAAUAAAUAUAAUGUUUUUGUUAUUUUGGUCUCCCUGGUCCUUGUUCGAAAAUCCGUGGCACUUAAAAGAAGAAUAUAAGAGAGCGGGACAGAGGGAAAAAUUAGCAACCAAGCUGGGCCAUCACGUGCUGUGGUUGUUUCUAGUGAAUGUUCUGGCAUCCCCUUUGAUCUUCGUCGGACAAAUAAUCUUCUACUUUUUCAGUUAUUUCGAUUUAAUUCGGCGAGAGCCUGGUAAAUUUGGGGUUAGGUAUUGGUCGCAGUUUGGCAGGCUCUAUUUAAGACAUUUCAAUGAGCUGGAUCACGAACUGCAUUCGAGGCUCACAAGGGCAUAUAAGCCGGCAACAAAAUAUUUAGAUUCAUUUAACAGUCCUUUGAUGGUUGUUAUAGCACAACACAUGGCGUUUAUAUGCAGUUCCCUCUUGGCAAUAUUAGUGACCUUGGGAUUCUUGGAUAACGAGAUUUUGUAUUGGGAUCAGGUAUUGACGAUAUUGGCCAUUUUGACAGCGAUUAUUACCGUUUGUCGUUCUGUUGUGCCCGAUGACACUCUAUUUUUGUGUCCAGAGUCCUUAUUGCAAGCCGUGGUACUGCAUACUCACUAUUUUACAGGCGAUUGGCAGGGAAUUGCUCAUACUAUACCAGUUAAAACGCGCUUUCAGCAGUUGUUCCAGUACAGAUUUGCAGCUUUGUUGGAGGAAUUUCUGUCGCCUCUCCUAACACCUUAUUUUUUACUGAGAUACGUUUAUCCACGAUCUUUGGAUCUAGUGGAUUUCUUCAGAAAUUUCACUGUAUCGGUUGUGGGCGUCGGUGAUGUAUGCAGUUUUGCGCAAAUGGACAUCCGUAGACACGGAAAUCCCGAUUGGCAACCUGAAGACACUUCUGCUUCUAUGGAGCCUACCGAUCAAUAUUCUCAAGCAGAAGACGGUAAAGUCGAGCUCUCUUUGAUGCAUUUCACCGCAACGAAUCCGGAAUGGGAUCCUCCAAGAGAUGUGCGAGGUUUUGUGGAUAGCGUAAACGAUGAAGUCAGAGACUAUGAACUGUUCGAUCUAGGAGUUAUGUCUAGCAUGGAAUUGGAUGCGCGUUCUUUGCCCAUCUUCAGGACCUCUUCGAUAGGGUUGCCUGCCUUGCCCAGCAAGUCGAAUCUCGCGAGAAAGAGCAUGUUUAAUUGGAAAGCCGAAGGGCCCGAUUUCUUUACGGGAGCUUCCAAUAUGCGAGCCAGUACGCUGGUGUUGCAUACUCAGCAUGCUAAUAAGGCUAAAUCCGAACAAAUACCGGUAAAGAAAUAAAGCGUGUAAAUCAUGAAUAUUAACAGGAAUAGGCAAUCAGUUGAGGAUAUGAUAAAAUGCGGCAGAGGAAUACAUUUGAAGACGAAACUGUAUUGAAAUAUAAAACGGUAUCCAACCACCGCUACCCACAGCCGGCAGCACAAGAAACCACGCCACUGCUGUUUAACAAAUGAGAAACAGUUCUAGUCAAAAUAUGUAGUAAACGUAUAUCGAAAAAUUGUCUUUUAAAUCGUACGAAUUACAUAGUUUUGUGUAUAUAUUUUUAUAAGUAAAAUGAUGCUGUAUAUCGCGAA
rnacentral:misc_RNA from 1 species